AAGAGGGCUCGAGGUAGCUCAGAAGAGACACACGGACUUGGGCGAGGCAAGAGACAGGUUGGGGACUCUCGAGACCAUAACACAUCAUGAAAUUUUCACACCUUCAUGGCUAUUUAGCCGUCAUCAUCCAACUGAUUUUCUUUGGACUCUUCUGCAUCUUCGUCAGGUACAGCCCAGAUGCAGACGCCCGCCACCACCCCUUACCGGAGAACGCCACGAAGGUGGAGACUAAGAUGGCUCACCACAGCAGUGGCGACCCGUGGAUCCACGCCAGGACCUACCCUAUGUUUCAGGAUGUACACGUAAUGAUUUUCGUGGGCUUCGGGUUCUUGAUGACAUUCUUGAAGAAAUACGGAUUCAGUGCUGUGGGUCUCAACUUCAUGAUCUCUGCGUUGUGCCUCCAGUGGGCCAUCCUCAUCCAUGGCUUCUUUCACCUCAAGUAUGGCACCAUCUUCGUCGACUUGAAUUCGCUGCUGGGGGCUGACUUCACGGCAGCUACUGUACUUAUCACCUUUGGGGCUGUCUUAGGCAAGACCACUCCCACGCAGCUGAUCCUCGUCACCAUGAUAGAGAUCCCGCUUUUUACCAUCAACGAGAUCAUCGGCAGGCAGUACCUAGGGGCUGUUGAUAUGGGGGACUCUAUGUUUGUGCACACCUUUGGCGCUUACUUUGGGUUGGCCCUCAGUCUGAUGCUGUACAGACGUGAUUCAUCCACAGAGAAAGAAGGUUCAAGCUACCAAUCAGACAUCUUCGCUAUGAUCGGCACACUGUUUCUGUGGUUGUACUGGCCGUCCUUCAAUGCGGGAGCUGCUGUUGGAGAUGACCAGCACAGAGGCAUUGUCAACACCUAUGUCUCUCUCAUUGCCUGCUGCUUCACAGCCUUUGCCAUCUCAUCAAUCAUCCAUAAGGACAAGAAGUUUGAUAUGGUUCACAUCCAGAACAGUACACUGGCUGGAGGUGUGGCAGUAGGGACAGCAGCUGACCUAAUGAUACAACCUUGGGGUGCCCUCCUUAUUGGCAUUAUAGCUGGCACUCUAUCUGUCCUCGGCUAUGUUUACCUCACCCCUUUCCUGGCCUCCCGCCUGAGGAUCCACGACACCUGUGGAGUGAAUAACCUGCAUGGGAUGCCUGGCAUCCUGGCUGGCAUCAUUGGCUGUAUUGUAGCAGCCAUGGCAUCAGAGGCAAACUAUGGCCCAAGCUUAUAUGAGAUCUUUCCUGCCCGAGCCCCUCCUCACGGCACAGCACAGCUGGAUCAGUUAAGGGUCUUGCUACCUGACUUGGAAGGUGGAUCAGGGAUCUCUGCUACUGCACAAGCCAUCAAUCAGAUUCUCGCUCUUGUAAUCACCAUGGGUGUCUCAAUUGUUGGAGGAAUUGUUACAGGCCUGAUUCUAAGGCUGCGACCCUUCGCAACGCUUAAGACAGACGAACUGUACGAGGACGAGACCUACUGGUUGGUGGAGGCAGAAGAGGAUGAGCAUGAGGCCCACAAGACCAUCAGCAUACCCAUGAAUGAUGCAGCUGACAAUGGCACCUCCAAGUAAAGCCUCAUACAAGUCCUCACAAUGGCCACCAUGCUGCAUUUAGCUACUUUCUCUUAUGCGGAUGCCUCAAUGGGUCCUCUCCUGUCUUCGUAACAUCGGGUGCCCUGCUGACCACACUUGCGGCUGCAUUAGUGGAUGAAUGGCGGUGAACCAGCCUUUAGUCUCACACAGGAUAUUAUCUGACCCUCUACCUAUAAUUUCCAUGGCCAUCACCACCAAUUAACUGUUCCUGCCUCAAACUUCUAACAGUGCUUUAAUUGCAAUCAUAUUUACUACCAUGUAAGUUUUGUAGUUAAAAUUAAUGCUUUAACAUCAAGUAAUCUAUUCACUGUUGCCUUGAUUGUGCAUUGAAAAUGUUAAAUGUAGCUUUCUGUUUAAUUUUGCUUCGGCAAAUAUAGUAGUUUUCUCCCCCAGAAAUACCUACCAUGGAUAAGUAAUUUUUCAUAUAUAAAGUCUAGAAUUAGCACUUUCACUGAUGGGAAGUAUUUCACAUCUUUGGUUUUGAAGAAUUGCCAGCAUCAUUAAUUUUGGGGGGCAUAAUUAAGGGUUAUUUUUGAGCCACAGUAAACCAUAGAUAACUGAAACCACGGAUACUGAAUCCGUGGAUGUGGGGGUUCUACUGUACAGUGUAAAAUUUGAUAUAGCAUUUAUAUUUUUAUAUCUUAAGUAUUUACUCGACCAGAGUACAUUUUUACUUAAAUAAUUGUACAUAUUGAAUUAUAGACCUUAGAAAAUUAGUGAGCAGAGUAAGUUCUUGUUCAUAUUUUACAUAAAAUAACUUCUCACUUUUUAAUGUUUUCCUUUUUUAGUUAUAUAAUUAGGUACCAAAUGUUUAUAUACUGUAGCAUAUAUUGCAUGCUUUACAAAUACUAUUCAGUUAAUUAAAUGUCGAGGAUUUUACAUCCCUUUAGUUGUUUAUUUUUGAUUCACAAUGUUAAUAUAAGGCAAGACAAAAUAUUCUUAACCUUUUCACUGCAUAAAGUGUCAUCCAGUUGUCCCAAAGAGAAAAAUUAAUUGCUCAAACACGCUUUGGCAGUUUUUUUUUUUUUAAGAGGCCACAAGGUUUCCACAUCUAGCACUUGGUCUUAAAAAUUUAAUAUAGUAUCAUAAAGAAAAACAUUGAUACAUUUAAAUUGUUUAUAAUUUUCUCAAAACAUGUCAGCUUUACUGACACCCUAUUUCAUUGUAAUAACAUGUAUGAUGAUGUGUUUAUAUAGAAAAAUAUUUUAGGACAGAUUUUUCAAGGAUUCCAGAUUUAUACAUUUUGGGUAAAAAUUGCAAGACAACUUAUUUGUAUACUAUAAUGUAUCAGUGCUAUGAAGAAAUAAAUAUUGUAAAAGUUUA